rnacentral:rRNA from 1 species
UACGGAGGAUCCAAGCGUUAUCCGGAUUUAUUGGGUUUAAAGGGUGCGUAGGCGGAUUGAUAAGUUAGAGGUGAAAUGUCCGAGCCUAACUCGGGAACUGCCUCUAAUACUGUUGAUCUAGAGAGUAGAUGCGGUAGGCGGAAUGUAUGGUGUAGCGGUGAAAUGCUUAGAGAUCAUACAGAACACCGAUUGCGAAGGCAGCUUACCAAUCUAUAUCUGACGUUGAGGCACGAAAGCGUGGGGAGCAAACAGG